rnacentral:lncRNA from 1 species
AUUCAUCGGCUCCCUCUGUACCAGCUUUACCACAGGAACCCUACUACACACCAUCUGCCCAGACAACUGAAGCUAUUCAUCAGCAGUAUCAAGCCCCUCCAGUUCCACAGCCGCAGGCGCCUCCAGCACCACAGCAGCAGUAUCAAGCGCCUCCAGCUCCACCACAGCAGUAUCAAGCCCCUCCAGUUCCACAGGCACAUGCACCUCCAGCUCCACCACAGCAGUAUCAAGCCCCUCCAGUUCCACAGGCGCAGGCGCCUCCAGCUCCACCGCAACAGUAUCAAACCCCGUCUCAGUUUUCUCAAUAUUCACAACAACCUC